rnacentral:rRNA from 1 species
AGUCAAGGGAGUAAGAGCAUAGGGUGGAUGCCUUGGCAUCAGCAGCCGAAGAAGGGCGUGGCAAGACUGCGAAAAGCCUCGGUCAGCUGUCUAGCUAGCUUAGCUGGGGAUUCCCGAAUGGGGCAACCUGCUUGGGUGAAACCCAAGCACUCGCGAAAGCGAGAGGGAACUGGGUGAACUGAAACAUCUUAGUAACUCGAGGAAGAGAAAUCAACCGAGAUUCCCUGAGUAGUGGCGAACGAAAGGGGAACAGCCCAAACCAGGAUAGCUAAGUGGACUUGGAUCCUAAGCUAUUUUGGGGUUGCAAGGCGUAAGGGGCAGAUUCCAAGGUCUGCCACAGAGUGACAAAACUUUUCCUUAGUCAAAUGCUUCUGGAAAGGGCAACCGUAGAAGGUGAUAGUCCGGUAGGCGAAAAGGGAAAGUCUCUGCUUGUGUUCUUGAGUACCACGGGACAC